rnacentral:rRNA from 1 species
AGAUUAAGCCAUGCAUGCGUAAGUGCACAUUUUUUUGGGCCAAAACCGGGGAUGGCUCAUUAAAUAAGUCUUGGUUUAAUAGAUCAUACGGAGCAUAUGGAUAAUUGUGGAAAAUCUAGAGCUAAUACAUGCCACGAAUGCUUCGACUAACGAAGAAGGSCUUUUAUUAGAUCAAAGCCAACGGUCCCCUUUCGGAGAUCAAACGUUGUGCUGAUUCUGAGUAAAGWAAGCUGAUUGCAUUGMCGCAAGGGGCAGGCGACGUGUCUUUCAAGKGUCUGCCCUAUCMACUAUCGUUGGUAGUUGACAUGACUACCAUGGKCGUAACGGGUAACGGGGAAUCAGGGUUCGAUUCCGGAGAGAGAGCAUGAGAAACGGCUGUCACAUCCMAGGAAGGCMGCAGGCGCGCMAAUUACCCAAUCCCAGCUCGGGGAGGYAGUGACGAAAAAUAACGAUGCCGCAAUCUUCGGAUUCGGMAAUUGGAAUGAGAACAAUCKAAAUCCUUUAUCGAGGAUCAAUUCGAGGGCAAGUUCUGGUGCCAGCAGCCGCGGUAAUUCCAGCUCGAAUAGCGUAUGUKAWAUUUGCUGCGGWUAAWAAGCUCGUAGWUGGGUAUCRRGAGAUGAACUCUGCGCUGUCUAAUUUGUACAGCAUUGCGCGAGCUUCGCUCCUUUUGWCAUACCAUUCCUACGUMCGUCAGGACGUCUGGAGSGYAGACGGACUACUUUGAGAMAWWUAKCGUGCUCAAUGCAGGCGAUUGCUUGUAUACUGUUGCAUGGMAUAAUGAGAAAGGACCYCGGUUCWGAYUCGUWGGUUUCCGGSAGCUGAGKUAAUGAUUGMUAGGGACAAACGGGGGCAUUCGUAUUGUGGUGUUAGAGGUGAAAUUCUGUGAUCACCGCAAGACGAACUACUGCGAAAGCAUUUGCCAAGAGUGUUUUCAUUAAUCAAGAACGAAAGUUAGAGUUUCGAAGACGAUUAGAUACCGUCCUAGUUCUAACUAUAAACUAUGCCAACUGGGCAUCUGGCGAUUGCAUUAAUGCAUCGGCAGGCACCCUGCGGGAAACCAAAGUUAUUGGGUUCCGGGGGGAGUAUGGUUGCAAAAUCGAAACUUAAAGGAAUUGACGGAGGGGCACACCAGAAGUGGAGCCUGCGGCUCAAUUUGACUCAACGCACGAAAGCUUACUCGGUCCGAACACCGUGAGGAUUGACAGGUUGAAAGCUCUUUCUUGAUUCGGUGGGUGGUGGUGCAUGGCCGUUCGUAGUUGGUGGAGUGAUUUGUCUGGUUUAUUCCGAUAACGAACGAGACUCUAGCCUAUUAAUUAGUGAGGCGAGCGAACCGCUUUUGCGGCGAUGCCGUUCAUUUACUUCUUAGAGGGACAAGUGUCGUGAGACACUCGAAGUUGAGCAAUAACAGGUCUGUGAUGCCCUUAGAUGUUCGGGGCUGCACGCGCGCUACAAUGGAGGCUUCAAAAAGCGUUCCUGAUCCGCAAGGAGCAGGGAAUCAUAAAUUGCCUUCACGAUUGGGAUCGGAGAUUGUAAUUAUUCUUCGUGAAAGAGGAAUUCCUAGUAAACGCGAAUCAUUAUUUCGCGUUGACUAAGUCCCUGCCCUUUGUACACACCGCCCGUCGCUACUACCGAUCGAAUGGUUUAGUGUGGUCUUCGGAUAGGUUGCAUGGAGCCACAAUCUCCACUGCGAACUCUAGAAAUUGACCGAACUUAACCAUUUAGAGGAAGUAAAAGUCGUAACAAGGUUUCCGUAGGUGAACCUGC